rnacentral:rRNA from 1 species
UACGUAGGGGGCAAGCGUUAUCCGGAUUUACUGGGUGUAAAGGGAGCGUAGACGGCGAUGCAAGCCAGAUGUGAAAGCCCGGGGCUCAACCCCGGGACUGCAUUUGGAACUGUGUGGCUGGAGUGUCGGAGAGGCAAGUGGAAUUCCUAGUGUAGCGGUGAAAUGCGUAGAUAUUAGGAGGAACACCAGUGGCGAAGGCGGCUCGCUGGACGAUGACUGACGUUGAGGCUCGAAAGCGUGGGGAGCAAACAGG